UGUUUAAAUUAUCCCUCAAGCUGUAUUAACCAGGUGCCUAGUUAUGACAAUCAAAGCACAGCCUGGUUUUUUCUUGUUCUUGCCAAUAUUAUUGCUUUUCUUUUCUUUUGGAAUUUCUUCUCUUGGUUAUGAGGUUCCGUAUCCAAAAACUGACAAGGAGCGAUGUUUAGAACGUUGCCAUGAAACUAAGAAAGACUUUUCAGGGUUGAUUUCCUGUGCAAGUCAUUGUGAACGGAAAUAUGAAAACCAUAGAGAGGAAAAGCGUGAAGGUGAAGAAAUCUCACCCCGAGAUCCAAAGAGCCCUCGAUGGAAGAUUGAGCGUUGCCAGGAACAAUGCCGAAGGGAGGAGUCUGAUGAUAGAAUGCUACAGAGAUGUCAGAAACGCUGUGAAGAGGAAGUUAUCAAAGAGAGAGAGGGCGAAAGUGAGGAUCCUCGCGUGCAAUAUGAGAGAUGCCAAGAGCUAUGCGAUAGACAACCAGAACGCCAGAAAUCGCAGUGUCGAGGAAGGUGCGAGAGGCAAUUUGAGGAAAAACAGAAAGAACGUGAAGAAAGAGGCUCGGACAGAGGAACCAAAAGCAGAGAAAUGGAGAAACAGAGGGAUAACCCUUACUAUUUCCAUGCACAGAGAUUACAGUCUCGACAUAAGACACAAGAAGGUCAUAUUAGUGUUCUUGAGAAGUUCUCUGAUAGGUCUGAGCUUCUACGUGGUAUAGAAAAUUAUCGUUUGUCAACGUUGGAAGCAAAUCCUAACACUUUUGUUGUCCCACACCAUUGUGAUGCAGAAUCCAUUAUUGUUGUCCUAAGGGGUAAAGGGACUAUUACUUGUGUGCUGCGGGAUGAAAGACGUUCCUACAACCUGGAGAAAGGAGAUGUUAUCAGGAUUCCUGCAGGGGCAACUCUAUACUUGAUUAACCGUGAUAAUAACGAAAAACUGAAUAUGGUAAAGCUUAUGCAACCUGUCAAUUCCCCUGGAAAUUUCAGGGAAUAUUUCGCUGCAGGAGGAGAUAACCCUGAGUCAUUUUAGACAGUCUUCAUCAAUGAUGUUCUUGAAGCUGCUCUUGACACUCCAAGAGAUCAGCUAGACAGACUAUUUGGACAACAGAGACAAGGUGUGAUUCUAAAGGCUUCUCAAGAACAUCUCAAGGCGUUAAGCCAACAUAUUUCAUCAACGAAGCAGAAAGGCCAUGAAUCUGAACGCCCUUUUAAUCUUCUCAAUCGGCAACCUUUGUACUCAAAUAGAUUUGGUAACUUCAUUGAAGCCUCAUUGCAGGACGUAGACAUCUCUGUUUCUUAUGCAGAAAUCAAAAGAGGAGCUUUAAUGGUGCCACACUAUAAUUCGAAGGCUACAAUGAUUGCUUUAGUUGUGGAAGGAGCUGGACGCUUUGAAAUGGCUUGUCCACAUCUAGCAAGUCAAAGAAUGGAACCUAGAGAAGAACCACCAGAGGGGACUCGACAAUACCAAAAGAUAAGCUCUGACUUAUCUCCUGGUGAUGUCUUCAUAACACCGGCAGGUCAUCCAGUUGCAGUUCUGGCUUCCCAAAACCAGAAUCUGAUUUUAAUAGGCUUCGCAAUCAAUGCACGGGAUAACCAGAGAAAUUUCCUUGCUGGACGGGACAAUAUAAUGAACCAGAUUGAGAGAGAAGCAAAGGAGCUGUCUUUCAACUCACCAGCAGAACUGAUAGAAAAGAUAUUUAGAAACCAAAAAGAAUCACACUUUGUGGCUGCGCGUCAACAGAGCCAUGGAAGAGAAGAGGAUAGAGACCACUCUAUCCCUUCAAUUUUGGAUUUUUCCGGUUUCUUUUAGUUCGGUUAAUGUAAUAGUACAGAAGGUUGGUCGUUUAAAGUGUUAAAAUUAUGUAAAUUACCUAUAGAGUACUGACAAUAUGUGUCUAUGGAGAUUAAGAUCUCCACUGUGGAUAAAUAAGAGAAGAGUACUCUCUUUUUGUCUUUAUAAUCAAAUCAAUUUAUAAA